ACGCUGGCGGCGUGCUUAACACAUGCAAGUCGAACGAUGAAGCCGCUUCGGUGGUGGAUUAGUGGCGAACGGGUGAGUAACACGUGGGCAAUCUGCCCUUCACUCUGGGACAAGCCCUGGAAACGGGGUCUAAUACCGGAUAAUACUCUGUUCCGCAUGGAACGGGGUUGAAAGCUCCGGCGGUGAAGGAUGAGCCCGCGGCCUAUCAGCUUGUUGGUGGGGUAAUGGCCUACCAAGGCGACGACGGGUAGCCGGCCUGAGAGGGCGACCGGCCACACUGGGACUGAGACACGGCCCAGACUCCUACGGGAGGCAGCAGUGGGGAAUAUUGCACAAUGGGCGAAAGCCUGAUGCAGCGACGCCGCGUGAGGGAUGACGGCCUUCGGGUUGUAAACCUCUUUCAGCAGGGAAGAAGCGCAAGUGACGGUACCUGCAGAAGAAGCGCCGGCUAACUACGUGCCAGCAGCCGCGGUAAUACGUAGGGCGCAAGCGUUGUCCGGAAUUAUUGGGCGUAAAGAGCUCGUAGGCGGCUUGUCACGUCGGAUGUGAAAGCCCGGGGCUUAACCCCGGGUCUGCAUUCGAUACGGGCUAGCUAGA
rnacentral:rRNA from 1 species